AGUCACUAGAAGGUGGACAGUGCAACCAGACAGGUACUUAGUCACUAGAAGGUGAACAGUGCAGGCAGACAGGUACUUAGUCACUAGAAGGUGGACAGUGCAACCAGACAGGUACUUAGUCACUAGAAGGUGGACAGUGCAACCAGACAGGUACUUAGUCACUAGAAGGUGGACAGUGCAACCAGACAGGUACUUAGUCACUAGAAGGUGGACAGUGCAACCAGACAGGUACUUAGUCACUAGAAGGUGGACAGUGCAACCAGACAGGUACUUAGUCACUAGAAGGUGGACAGUGCAACCAGACAGGUGCUUAGUCACUAGAAGGUGGACAGUGCAACCAGACAGGUGCUUAGUCACUAGAAGGUGGACAGUGCAACCAGACAGGUACUUAGUCACUAGAAGGUGGACAGUGCAACCAGACAGGUACUUAGUCACUAGAAGGUGGACAGUGCAACCAGACAGGUACUUAGUCACUAGAAGGUGGACAGUGCAACCAGACAGGUACUUAGUCACUAGAAGGUGGACAGUGCAACCAGACAGGUACUUAGUCACUAGAAGGUGGACAGUGCAACCAGACAGGUACUUAGUCACUAGAAGGUGGACAGUGCAACCAGACAGGUACUUAGUCACUAGAAGGUGGACAGUGCAACCAGACAGGUACUUAGUCACUAGAAGGUGGACAGUGCAACCAGACAGGUACUUAGUCACUAGAAGGUGGACAGUGCAACCAGACAGGUACUUAGUCACUAGAAGGUGGACAGUGCAACCAGACAGGUACUU
rnacentral:lncRNA from 1 species